CAAAAGUCUUGACCAAUGAAGAAUGCUUUAAACCAGAGGACGGAAUACUAUUACUUUUUUGGCGAUAUCACGGAAAAGAGUCAUCGAAGCUCCUAUACACUUGCACUUCGACUUCCAUGAAUGGACAUUAGUGUACUCCUGCACUCAAGUUUUAGAUCUCCUUUGAUAAGUGCUAAAAUAAUUUCUUUCAAUCUCGAAUUGGUUUGUGACUAUUAAAAGGCUUAAAGGAAUGUUGCGUGACCUUCCAUCUGUGGCGGCGAAGAGUUGCGAUGAUCUACCCAAAG
rnacentral:sRNA from 1 species